rnacentral:lncRNA from 1 species
AGAGGAAUGGGAUAUGAAGGGUAGGGAAAUGGUUGGUUAUGAGUAUAAUCAUAGUUACUACUUCCCACUCCAACAGAGUCUGAAGUUAUAGAUAACGAAUCAUCUUCUUGACUUGACAAAAUCGCCUUGCCUCUUUCUCUACGAGUAUAGUCCUUCCCUAUGGCACCAAUUCCUGGUCCUGCCCGCCUACUCCCAUGGUCCUCAUCUUGUGUUGCAUGUGUGAAGUUUGCCUCACCAGUGAAGGGGCUCAUAAAUUCGGGAGGUGGUCCAACAUAGUUUCCAUAUCCACCACUACCUCCAGCUCCACUAUAUCCUUCAUCAUUCCCACCUCCAGUGGUAGGUGAGUAUCCUGAUCUUGUACUAGAGCUAUCAUUAGUAUCAGCAGGAUCUUGUGGUUGAGUAGGAUUGGAAGAAGGAGGAAUUCCUUUAUUUCUUGGUCUUGGGCGCAAAAGUUCUUCCAAAGAGUCAGCGCUGCUAGAUCCCACCUCCUCCUCUAAUACUCUUUCUACAUUUAUCCCUUCAUUACGUGCUUCUUCAGCAACUCUUAGAGCUGGGUUGCCUUCAUCAUCAUCUAAAUGAAGAGGUCUUAUC